rnacentral:misc_RNA from 1 species
GAAAUGCGAUAAGUAAUGUGAAUUGCAGAAUUCCGUGAAUCAUCGAAUCUUUGAACGCACAUUGCGCCCUCUGGUAUUCCGGGGGGCAUGCCUGUCCGAGCGUCAUUGCAAACCCUCAAGCUCGGCUUGUGUGAUGGGUCCCGCGUCCGCCUCCCGGGGCGGACGGGCCCGAAAUGCAGUGGCGGCUUCGCGGUUAUCCGAUCAGCCAGAGCGUAUGGGGACUCUCUCUCUUGUCACACGCCCGCGGCGCGGACCGACGCCUGUCGACCUUUAUUCAUCUUCUCUCGGUUGACCUCGGAUCAGGUAGGGAUACCCGCUGAACUUAAGC